GAAGUCGGCCAGACCGCCGCUGGUGCGGGGCCCGAAAGGGCGCACUGGAGGAAGGUCCGGACUGCACAGGGCAGCGUAGGAGGUAACACCUCUCCACCGCGAGGUGAGGAUCAGAGCAACAGAGACGAGUCGGGCUGGCUUUCGGGCUGGUUCGGGUGAAACGGGCAAUCUCUACGCGCAGCAACACCAAAUAGGCACACGAUGACCUGGCCCGGGGAGUGUGCGGGUAGGUGGCACCGAGCCGCUCUGGCGACAGGCGGCCCAGAGGAAUGGCGGUCACGGUCCGGCGUUGCAAGACGACGGACUGCACAGAAUCCGGCCUAUCGGCCGACUUCACAC
rnacentral:RNase_P_RNA from 1 species